UACGGGGGGGGCAAGCGUUGUUCGGAAUUACUGGGCGUAAAGGGCUCGUAGGCGGCCAACUAAGUCGGACGUGAAAUCCCCAGGCUCAACUUGGGAACUGCGUCCGAUACUGGAUGGCUUGAAUUCGGGAGAGGGAUGCGGAAUUCCAGGUGUAGCGGUGAAAUGCGUAGAUAUCUGGAGGAACACCGGUGGCGAAGGCGGCAUCCUGGACCGGUAUUGACGCUGAGGCGCGAAAGCCAGGGGAGCAAACGGG
rnacentral:rRNA from 1 species